rnacentral:rRNA from 1 species
GGCGAGUGGCGAACGGGUGAGUAAUAUAUCGGAACGUGCCCAGUCGUGGGGGAUAACGCAGCGAAAGCUGUGCUAAUACCGCAUACGAUCUCUGGAUGAAAGCGGGGGACUCGCAAGAGCCUCGCGCGAUUGGAGCGGCCGAUAUCAGAUUAGCUAGUUGGUGGGGUAAAAGCCUACCAAGGCGACGAUCUGUAGCUGGUCUGAGAGGACGACCAGCCACACUGGAACUGAGACACGGUCCAGACUCCUACGGGAGGCAGCAGUGGGGAAUUUUGGACAAUGGGCGAAAGCCUGAUCCAGCAAUGCCGCGUGCAGGAUGAAGGCCUUCGGGUUGUAAACUGCUUUUGUACGGAACGAAACGGUUCGCCUUAAUACGGUGGGCUAAUGACGGUACCGUAAGAAUAAGCACCGGCUAACUACGUGCCAGCAGCCGCGGUAAUACGUAGGGUGCGAGCGUUAAUCGGAAUUACUGGGCGUAAAGCGUGCGCAGGCGGUUAUAUAAGACAGAUGUGAAAUCCCCGGGCUCAACCUGGGACCUGCAUUUGUGA